CGGGGUGAGUGACGCGCGGGCAAUCUGCCCUGGCUCUGGGACAAGCCCUGGAAACGGGGUCUAAUACCGGAUACUGACCCGCUUGGGCAUCCAAGCGGUUCGAAAGCUCCGGCGGUGCAGGAUGAGCCCGCGGCCUAUCAGCUUGUUGGUGAGGUAAUGGCUCACCAAGGCGACGACGGGUAGCCGGCCUGAGAGGGCGACCGGCCACACUGGGACUGAGACACGGCCCAGACUCCUACGGGAGGCAGCAGUGGGGAAUAUUGCACAAUGGGCGAAAGCCUGAUGCAGCGACGCCGCGUGAGGGAUGACGGCCUUCGGGUUGUAAACCUCUUUCAGCAGGGAAGAAGCGAAAGUGACGGUACCUGCAGAAGAAGCGCCGGCUAACUACGUGCCAGCAGCCGCGGUAAUACGUAGGGCGCGAGCGUUGUCCGGAAUUAUUGGGCGUAAAGAGCUCGUAGGCGGCUUGUCACGUCGGUUGUGAAAGCCCGGGGCUUAACCCCGGGUCUGCAGUCGAUACGGGCAGGCUAGAGUUCGGUAGGGGAGAUCGGAAUUCCUGGUGUAGCGGUGAAAUGCGCAGAUAUCAGGAGGAACACCGGUGGCGAAGGCGGAUCUCUGGGCCGAUACUGACGCUGAGGAGCGAAAGCGUGGGGAGCGAACAGGAUUAGAUACCCUGGUAGUCCACGCCGUAAACGGUGGGCACUAGGUGUGGGCGACAUUCCACGUCGUCCGUGCCGCAGCUAACGCAUUAAGUGCCCCGCCUGGGGAGUACGGCCGCAAGGCUAAACUCAAGGAAUGACGGGGGCCCGCACAAGCGGCGGAGCAUGUGCCUUAUUCGACGCAACGCGAAGAACCUUACCAAGGCUUGACAUACACCGGAAAGCAUCAGAGAUGGUGCCCCCCUUGUGGUCGGUGUACAGGUGGUGCAUGGCUGUCGUCAGCUCGUGUCGUGAGAUGUUGGGUUAAGUCCCGCAACGAGCGCAACCCUUGUCCCGUGUUGCCAGCAGGCCCUUGUGGUGCUGGGGACUCACGGGAGACCGCCGGGGUCAACUCGGAGGAAGGUGGGGACGACGUCAAGUCAUCAUGCCCCUUAUGUCUUGGGCUGCACACGUGCUACAAUGGCCGGUACAAUGAGCUGCGAUACCGCGAGGUGGAGCGAAUCUCAAAAAGCCGGUCUCAGUUCGGAUUGGGGUCUGCAACUCGACCCCAUGAAGUCGGAGUCGCUAGUAAUCGCAGAUCAGCAUUGCUGCGGUGAAUACGUUCC
rnacentral:rRNA from 1 species